AGUGAACGCUGGCGGUAGGCCUAACACAUGCAAGUCGAACGGCAGCACAGUAAGCGCUUGCUCUUACGGGUGGCGAGUGGCGGACGGGUGAGGAAUACAUCGGAAUCUACUUUUUCGUGGGGGAUAACGUAGGGCCACUUACGCUAAUACCGCAUACGACCUACGGGUGAAAGCAGGGGAUCUUCGGACCUUGCGCGAUUGAAUGAGCCGAUGUCGGAUUAGCUAGUUGGCGGGGUAAAGGCCCACCAAGGCGACGAUCCGUAGCUGGUCUGAGAGGAUGAUCAGCCACACUGGAACUGAGACACGGUCCAGACUCCUACGGGAGGCAGCAGUGGGGAAUAUUGGACAAUGGGCGCAAGCCUGAUCCAGCCAUACCGCGUGGGUGAAGAAGGCCUUCGGGUUGUAAAGCCCUUUUGUUGGGAAAGAAAAGCAGCAGGUUAAUACCCCGCUGUUCUGACGGUACCCAAAGAAUAAGCACCGGCUAACUUCGUG
rnacentral:rRNA from 1 species